rnacentral:rRNA from 1 species
GACGGAGGGUGCAAGCGGUUGCUCGGAAUCACUGGGCGUAAAGGUGCGUAGGCGGUCUCGCAAGUCUGGCGUGAAGCCCAAGGCUCAGCCUUGGAAGUGCGCUCGAACGGCGAGGCUGGAGUGCCGGAGGGGAGAGUGGAAUUCCCGGUGUAGCGGUGAAAUGCGUAGAUAUCAGGAGAACACCGUGGCGAAGGCGGCUCCUCUGGGACGGUACUGACGCUGAGACGCGAAAGCGUGGGAGCGAACGG